AGGACAACAAUUACACAUUUCCAGUCCAUCUACUACUUUCCAAAACAUACCAUAUUUGAAUUCUUAUUCACAAUCAAAACAUUAUACCAAGUUAAGUUAAAUCACAUGGCUUUAACAUAUACCACACAAUGUACCAAAAUCACCAUCUUAAGUACUAUAACUAUCAUCUUUAUAACUAGCCUAUACAUGCCAUAUUUACAUAUAUCCACAACUUCAAAGGUACCAAUCAGCAACUGGAUAGUGUGAUGCGUAACUCUGGCUUUAUCCGAAUCAAGCGAGCUAUCGAACCUCUAUAAAACACAAAAAAGAAACAGAGGAAGCUUUAUAGCUUAGUAAGCUCAUAUAAUUUAGAAUUUAACUAACCAUUGAUACAUAACCAAACAAUUAAACAAAGUAUAUCAAAUUCACUUGCCAAAUGCCUAUACACAAGCAUUCAUCAACAAGUUACUCACAUAAGUACAUGUAAUCAUUAUUAUCUCAAUUUAAUAUUUAAUACAUUGUAUCAUAUCAAAUUCAUAUAUCAUGUACAUCAUUUGUAACAUUUCACUCUAAAUCAUAUAAACCGUAAUUCAUUCGAAAAAAUAACUCAUCCUUUUAAAUAGUACUUCAUCCAUAUAACAGAAUAUAUGCCCGUUGAACCUAUUAGAUUAUCGAUAGAUACACGAGUGAUACACACUAAGUGUAUUAAUUGGUAAUCCGUCAAUUCAUCAUCAUAUUCACUCUUUCGAGCUAUGAUUGGUAAGCUCCUCCUGAGCUCAUGGACAGUAAGCUCUAUUGAGCUAAAACAGUAAACUCUGACGAGCUAAGAAUAGUAACCUUUUACGAGCUGAUAUAUCGAUAAGCUCAUAUGAGUUGAGGUGAGUCCGCAACACAUGCAAGAUCUUGACAUAAACAGUAACCCUAGUGACAUGUCACUCGUAUCCUACGAAUUUUUACAGUUCAAAUGGGGCUCGGUAACCAUCAAACUAUAUUCGUAAGGCAUUCGUAUUUCAAGUAGAUCAUUUAUUCAAUUACAUACAUUCAGUUCGAAUAAUUACAAGUAUUUAAAAGUUCAAUUCUAAUUAUACGAACUUACCUCGAGUUUCUCAUAUGGAAAUUAUCGACUAUUCGUCCACUCUUCCUUUUCCCCAAUCUAAUCUUAAUCUCGACUUAUCUUGAUCUAUAUAUUAUAAAAAUUAGAUUAUUUAAUCAACUAUUUAUUCAAUUUAGUCCAAAACACACAUUAGGGUUAUUUUACAUAUUUGCCCCUAAACUUUCACAUUAUUACAAUUUAUUCCUUAUUUCAUAAAACUGCAAAUUCAUGCAAUUUAGUACAAACCCAUGCUUAGUCGAAUUUUAAUGGAGUCCCUAGCAGCCCAUAUCUGUAAAACCCCUUACCCGAGUCUGAGGCCGGGACUAGGCGCGAGGCAUUACCAUCCUUAAUCACAUGCAUACAAUCUUUUCUGAGUCACCAAGACUUGAUCCUAUUUUAAAACUUUUUAAUUUCUACUUUAAACUUCUUAUUAUAGGCCUACGAGCCCUAAAUCAACCAUUGAAAACUAUUCGGGAUCAACUCGGGUCCUUAAACCAUCUAUAGAAAAUUUGACUUUGAAAUAGGGCACACGCCAGUGUAGAAGGGCAACACGCCGGUGUGGCCAUUUCAACAUGGUCAUGUUGAUGGCCUGUGUGGCUCACAUGGCCUAAGCAAUUCAGGGACACGCCCGUGUCCUCCACCCGAAUGGAAUUAAUUCUAAGUGUACAUCUAUAGGGGUUUUCACAUGACCUGGCACAUGCUCGUGUCCUUGGCCCGUGUCUUUCACACGGACAUGACACGCCCGUGUACUAGCCCGUGUGCAGAAACAUGGACAUUUUUUUUCUAACAUCGGCAUCCCCAAAAUGUCACACAGCCAAGGUACACGCCCGUGUGCUAAGCUGUUUCCAUCACACGGCCGUGUCUUUUCCCGUGUGUUUACUACCAUGCAUACUAACUUGAAAUUUUUACGUGCAGGGGACACACUACCGGGCCACACACCCAUGAGGCAGACCGUGUAUCACAAACGGCAUAUACAUACGUCGUGUGUCUACCCGUAUGGACGAAAUAAGGCUAUUUACCAAGCCUCUUUGCCACCCUUACUUACACAACCUACACAAAAGCAACCAAACCAAUACAAGAAUAACUUAAUACAAAAUGAAGGGUUUCCAACCAAAGCCAACACAUUUGGCCAGUUCUCAAUGACACAAAAAUAGUAACGUCUAAGCCCUAUACAUGCUAUAUUCAAAAAUAUAAAUCAAACUAUAUCGAAUGCUUAGAUUGAUAGUGUGAUCAAUAUUCAAUACACCUCAUAUAGCAUAUAUUGAGCUCACAUUUCAUACACCUCAUACACCUCUUACAUAUAUUGAGCAUUGAAUAUUGACACAAAAAUUCACCUCAUACACCUCAUAUAGCUCAAUAUAACUUUACCAUUCAUCAACAAGUAUCAUAAUACACAAGUGGCAUAAGCAAAACUUACUAUCAAUAUUCAAUACACCUCAUAUAGCAUAUAUUGAGCUCACAUUUCAUACAUACCAUAUAGGUACCUGUACCACUCACAACCCGGUUAUACUUUCCUUGUUAACUUGAAAUCUUACUUUCACCGUUGAACUAUUUGGAACAUUAUCGUAUACUAAUUUAGCCUCAAACAUAGGGUCAGGUGCUGAUGCCAUGUCCCAGAUAUGGUCUUACACAAGUUCUAGCAUAUCUGUGCCGAUGCCAUGUCCCAAACAUGGUCUUACACUGACACAUCUCGUAGCCGAUGCAUGUGAUGUAAGCGCACUCGGGGCUUCUACAACUACGAACCAAGAUCCUUUCGAGCUUCCAAAAGGUCUCAUAACUCCAGCACGCACUAAGCGACUCCAAGAAGCUUUAACAGCUUUAUUGACUCGAAUUUGGGAUGAAACAAAGCCCCUUGUCAUUGGAGAAGUUGUGGAAAACUCUUUCAAGACUCAUUGCACCCUUGUGCAAACCGACUUUAGCUCCUCUCCAGCUACCCAAGCUCAACUCAGCUCCAAUCAGCUCACUUGAGCUUGUUUCAGCUCGUUUGAGCUCAAUUUAGCUACUUUCCAGCUCAUUUCUUUUUCCAUUUCAAUAAACUAAGUAUUAGUUUUAUUCUAAGUCAAUUUAAUACAACUUAUGCCGAAUUCUCUAGCUCAAAUCUGUUCAUUUAUUCUUUUUGUUUAUUUGAGCUAGCCUAAUUUAAUAUGCUAGUUAGUUUUAAUUUAUAGUGUCCAAAUUGGUUAGUUGUUAUUUAAGUUUUUUAGUUGUUGUUUAAUUAUGUCUAAAUAUUAUAAUUAAAUGUGUUCAUUUCUUUUGUAGGUUCAGCCGAAUAUGGAAGUGCAUUUAAGGCUAGGUGCAUGCACGGGUUUAGUUCAAUGAAUGAGAAGAUUCAUGCACGGCUUGGUUCAAUGCUUGGAAAGAAAUAUGUACAUGCACUUGGAUGGCUUGGUUACAUGCAUAUCGAUUAAUGUCAUACAUUUCCUUUGGAUGGCACACAUGCAUGUAUGGAGAGCAUUUAUUGAAUGUUCAUGAAUGGCUAGAUUCAAGACCCCUUUUAGUUCCAUGCAUGACUGAAUGUAUGUGGGUGAGCUAUUGGGUUUCCUAAGUACUUAUUCAGACAAGAGGUAGUUGCAUAAUCAAUUUCCAAAUUCAAUUCAUGAAUGAAGAAUAAGAGAAGAUGCAUGGACAGCAAGUUACAACGAAUGGGAGAAUACAUCUAGUUCUUGAUACAUGAAUCGUUUGUUGCCCAAAUGACUUCCCUAGGUGUCUAUUCGGCCAAGAGACAUUUCUUUAAUUCUCCAUUCAUUUCAUGGCCAAAUUUAGACAAGCCAAUAAGCUGCCAUUCAUUCAUCAUCCUUCAAAUGAUUUUUCCUUAAUCAUGAAGUUGCCUAUUGGAGUUAUAUUCAGCCAAAUGUGGACUUGGGAUUUUCAUGAUUUAUUCUAGAAUAUUCUAGUGCAUUCUUAGCCGAAUUACUUAGCCUUUAAGCUAGUUAAUUUUUUCGCUCGGCUAUCACAUGUUAGACUAUAAAUAGUUUGUUUAUUUCAUUGUAAAAGGACUUUUGAGAAUUUUAUUAAUGAAACUAUGUUUCUGUGAGGUUGCUUCCUCUUAUAUCUCGUACAAGUUUUGAAGACUUAUCUAGUUGUACUAGUGGCGUCUACCGAGCAUGUUUCAACUUAUCACCGUAUUGGUGUGGCGUUCACCUAUCCUACGACUUUAUCUUUACCUUAACAAUAUAGGAACCUGGGUGACACUUUUUAGUGUUGAAUCGCUCCUGACGUUAAGCUAUAUAAUCCAUCCCCACCUUUUGUUAAUACUUUCUUGUUAUUUACAAAACCCAAUCAACUACUCAACACCUAUCUUUGCUUCCCUUAGCCGAACCUAUCACAACACACUUACCCCUUUUUUAACAUCAUUUGCUAUCAUCAAGCCUAUCAAGCCAAUAUCUACAACCAAGGCCAUCUUGCGAAUGAUUCUUCUCGCAGACGAUCGGGCACAUCGUGAAUUUGACUCCAUCACCCGAGCCAGAUCACAUCAUUUGGUAUCAGAGCUUGAAAAUGAGAAGCGUCGACAUUCUUACCAAGAUUGAAAUAGGUUCGUUGUGAAAAAAAUAAAAUUAAAAAAAAUAUUUUAUCAAGUUGUAUUUUUGUUUUUCUAUUGUAAUAGCAUUACUUUGAAGUUAUAAACAAAAAAAAGAAGAAAUUCGGAAUUAAAAAAAAAAGAAGUGAAGUGUUCAAGUUCUCUUCUCUACUGUUUAUACAAUUAUUUCGAUCGUCAAGGUGUUCAUUUCAUCAACUUUGUACCCCCCAAAACGCCACACUACACCAAAAAAAAUUCUUUUUAGCCUACCCUUAUACCAAUACAUUUUUACCCUUAUAACUACCUUGAAGCCGACCCCAAAGCACUAAGACGAGUCAAAGAAACAAAAUACGAGGUUACGAGAGCAAGUACGAGUGGUAAAAGGCUAGAGAGUGUGAGUGCAUUCGAGUCUUGAAAAAGCCUAAAACGAGUGAAAACACGAGUGGAGUGCACAUCCAUUAUUUUCUUUCCGAGUGAAAUAGUGAGGGUUUUGGUGAGAACUUUAUCUUUCUAUUUUAAUCAAUUUUUUUUCUAAAUCAUGUUGCAAGAAGAAUUUUCAAAAUUUGAAUUUCAGUAUUUGUUGAAAGAGAUGGAGUGCAUGCUAGACCAAAAAAUCAAGCCUAUCCAAGAAAAGUGGGAUCAUCGAGCAAGAGCCCAAAGGGAGCAAAGUCGAGGGACGGAUUCAAGACUAUCAAGAAAAUAAUCAUCCAAUGACUAUUUGGGAAGAGACCUAUAUCAUGGUUCUUUUUCAUCAAGGAAUUCGAGACGAAAUCAAACAAGUUUCAAGUUUUAAGCCUAUUAUAGUGGCAAACAAGAAAGCACAAGUCGAUCUUCAUGUACACCAAGUUAUUCAUCCAUGAAGAAUCAAUCUCGAAGAGAUGAUCAUAGUCUGUAUGAAGACCCCUCCUCUCAUUCUCAAUGAAAAGUCUCUCAUUUUGAUUCCUUCUUGUAUUCCUCCUUUUGUAAUAAAAUUGAAAAAGCAUGUGAGAAAGAAUUUGAAAGAAAAAAAGAAAUGAAAGAAAAAGAGUGUGAAAGAGAGCAAAAAGAAAGUAAGAAAAAGAAAAGCAAAAUUGAAAAAGAGAAAGAAAAAGAAUUUGAUCAAGAAAAGAAAAUCGAAAAAGAGAGUGAGCAUGAAGAAAGAAAGAAAAAUGAGUAAGAAGUGAGUGUUGUUGAAAGAGAACGUGAGCUAGAAAAAGAAACGAGUGGAAGAGAUGAGAGAGAAUGAGAAAAAGUGAGUGUUGUUUCAACUAAUCCACAUGUGAGUUGUCCUUGUGCUGUUUCUCAUUUUCAAGUUUCUGAAGAAUCAUGUGACAAGUUCCAACUGCAAUACUUCCCUGAUGUGAGACACUUCCAUUUGAAAAAGGUAAGGUCGAUGGUGGAAUCCAACCACAAGUGCUUAAAGGUAAGGAAUCUUUAGCAAUCGAGCUACGGCAAACAGGUUUGAAAAUUGCUGAUAAAAUUUUUGAUGACUUAGUUUUUAAAAGAUCUCCUAUUUUUGACAUGGUUAAUUGCUAUCCUUUGUUUGUGGUUGAUAAACUCGUUCUAAGUGGAAGUAUGAGAAGCUGUUCUCUAGAUUUGUUUUGUGAUGAAAAAUCUGUUGAAGCUGUUCGAUUAGAUCGAAAAACACCAAAUAUGAUCUUGCAUGAUAACGGGUUUUCACAAAAAGCGUUUAAGUUGUUUGAUUGUGGUGAUUAUGUGAAUCAUCUCAUGCCUUGUGUGGCAUCAUUGAAUUUGUGCAAAUUUUUCCUAAUAAACGUAAAGAUUUUUUAUUAUUUGAUUCUGUAUAUGCACAAUUCCUUUUGGAUCGGCAUGUUUGAUCUAAUGACAAAAAUGAAACUUUUGCUACAUUUUGGAUUAAGUAAACAAACUUGUGUGUUCAAACUUGAAAUUUACUAUUUUGGUUUGUUUUGUGGGAAACUCAAGCACCCUAAACUUCGUGCGAACAAUUUGUAUGAUGCCUGGUCUUUGACUAAGGAAACAAAAUUUGGAAACUUUGAUUACAACUUAAAAUCGUUCCUUGGUCAUCUUAUGUGGCUGUACGUGAAAUUCAAGUUUCCUCUCGAAAAGGUUUCUCAAGGAUCGUGUGAUGAGCUUCAACUUCAAUACCUUUUCGAGAAGAGAAGGUUUGUGAUGGUUGGAAAAGGUAAAACUCAUCUUUGCUUUUCUGCUCCUAAAGACAAGAAAGGUAUGGAUUUUGGAAAUUCUAAUACUUCUCUACUUUGUUCGAAUAAUGACGAAAGCAUUGUCGAUGAUGAUCUAAUUAUUUUGGUUGAUGAUAGGAUGACUCUUGGUACAUGUGAUGUUGGUGAGUUUAAUGAUUAUGUGAUGGCCAAAAGAUGACCGCCAUGCUUAGAUACACAAAAUCUUGAACAAUAUUUAUCUUUUCGAUUGUUUGAUUAUGAUGGUUGUCUGUAAUCUUUGAAUUGUUGCACAAAUUAUUUUUGUAAUCAUAAUGCCUUGUCGAUACAAUUUGAGAUGCCUAAACGGGCUAAGGACAAUAUGUCUUUGGCACCAAUGUUUGUUAAGGUGUUAAUUUGCAAAGGGGCAUGUUCAUUUAAUUGUGAGGAUGUGUUAUUGGAUUUGUCUUUUUGUAGUUGUCAUGCAUGUUUUAAACGCAAGAUAAUUAGCUAUCAUGACUGUUUGGAUAAGUUCGUGCCGUAUGCUGAUUCUUACUUGAUUGCAAGUUUUAUGACUUAUUUGCCACAAGGCACGGAGCAACAAUUAAUCUUAUUUGUCCAAGAACGUACAAGUAGGCAUCCCUGUUUCAAAAUAAAUAAGCAACUCAACUUAAGGACAAGUCACUUUGAAGAUGAGGGGAAUGAUGUAAGCACGCCCGGGGCUUCCACAACUACAAACUAAGAUCCUUUUGAGCUUCCAAAAAGUCCCAUCACUUGAGCACGCACUAAGCGACUCCAAGAAGCUUUAACUGCUUCAUUGACUCGAAUUUGGGAUGAAACAAAGUCCCUUGUCGCUGGAGAAGCUGUGGACAACUCUUUCAAGACUCAUUGCACCCUUUUGCAAACUGGCUUUAGCUCCUCUCCAGCUACCCGAGGUCAACUCAGCUCCAAUCAGCUCACUUGAGCUUGUUUCAGCUCGUUUGAGCUCAAUUUAGCUACUUUCCAGCUCUUCUUUUUCCAUUUCAAUAAACUAAGUAUUAGUUUUAUUCUAAGUCAAUUUGAUACAGCUCAUGCCGAAUUCUCUAGCUCAAAUCAAUUCAUUUAUUCUUUUUGUUUAUUUGAGCUAGCCGAAUUUAAUAUGCUAGUUAGUUUUAAUUUAUUGUGUCCAAAUUGGUUAGUUGUUAUUUAAGUUGUUUAGUUGCUGUUUAAUUAUGUCUAAAUAUUAUAAUUAAAUGUGUUCAUUUCCUUUAUAGGUUUAGCCGAAUAUGGAAGUGCAUUUCAUUUCAUUUGUAGGUUCAGUCGAAUACGGAAGUGCAUUUAAGGCUAGGUGCAUGCACGGGUUUAGUUCAAUGAAUUAGAAGAUUCAUGGACGGCUUGGUUCAAUGCUUGGAAAGAAAUAUGUACAUGCACUUGGACGGCUUGGAUACAUGCAUAUGGAUUACUGUCAUACAUUUCCUUUGGACGGCACACAUGCAUGUAAGGAGAGCAUUUAUUGAAUGUUCAUGAAUGGCUAGAGUCAAGACCCCUUUUAGCUCCUUGCAUGACUAAAUGUAUGUGGGUGAGCUAUUGGGUUUCCUAAGUACUUAUUCGGCCAAGGGGUAGCUACAUAAUCAAUUUCCAAAUUCAAUUCAUGAAUGAAGAAUAAGAGAAUAUGCAUGGACAUCAAGUUACAACGAAUGGGAGAAUGCAUCUAGUUCUUGAUACGUGAAUCGUUUGCUGCCCAAAUGGCUUCUCUAGGUGUCUAUUCGGCCAAGAGACACUUCUUUAAUGCUCCAUUCAUUCCAUGGUCGAAUUUAGACAAGCCAAUAAGUUACCAUUCAUUCAUCAUCCUUCAAAUGAUUUUUUCUUAAUCAUGAAGCUACCCAUUGGAGUUAUAUUCAGCCGAAUGUGGACUUGGCUUUUUUAAUGAUUUAUUCUAGAAUAUUCUAAUGCAUUCUUAGCCGAAUUACUUAGCCUUUAAGCUAGUUAAUUUUUCCAUUCGGCUAUCACAUGCUAGACUAUAAAUAGUUUGUUUAUUUCAUUGUAAAAGGACUUUUGAGAAUUUUAUUAAUGAAACUCUGUUUUUGUGAGGUUGCUUCCUUUCAUAUCUCGUACAAGUUUCGAAGACUUAUCUAGUUGUGCUAGUGGCGUCUACCGAGCUUGUUUGAACUUAUCACCGUAUUGGUGUGGAGUUCACCUAUCCUACAACUUCAUCUUUCACCUUAACAAUAUAGGAACCUGGGUGACACUUUUUAGUGUUGAAUCGCUCCUGACGUUAAGUUAUAUAAUCCAUCCCCACCUUUCGUUAAUACUUUCUUGUUAUUUCUAAAACCCAAUCAACUACUCAACACCCGUCUUUGCUUCCCUUAGCUGAACCUAUCACAACACACUUACCCCUUUUUGAACAUCAUUUGCUAUCAUCAAGCCUAUCAAGCCAAUAUCUACAACCAAAGCCAUCUUGCGAACGAUUCUUCUCGUAGACGAUCGGACACAUCAUGAAUUUGACUCCAUCACCCGAGCCAGAUCACAUCAGCAUGUCCCAGAUAUAUCUUACACUGGCUUAGUCUCGAGGCUGAUACAUGUCCCAGGCAUGUCUUACACUAGCACUCAUCUCAAUGUCAAUGUCAUGUCUCAGACAUGGUCUUACACUGGCUCUCAUAAUGUGGCCGAUGCAUGUCCCAGACAUGUCUUACACUAGCACUCGUCUCAAUGCCAAUGCCAUGUCCCAAACAUGGUCUUACACUGGCUCUCAUAAUGUGGCCGAUGCAUGUCCCAGACAUGUCUUACACUAGAUCACACAAGUGACCCAAACGUCCUGGCAAGAAUAUCUGAUUUAUUUCCCAAUGUUCAACCGGGGAUUCUACUAUCUUUAUUCUCAUCACAUUUUCUCAUUUUCACAAUCAAGCAAUUUAUGCUAUAAUAAUUUCAAUACAAUUCAAAUACAUAUAUUAUUAAUGUAGUUGUAUUAUUUACAUAUAACUUACCUCGGAUUACAAAAUGUGGCAACUAGUCAAUUUAGUCGAUUUGCUUGGCUUUUUCCCGGUGUAGGUUCGGAUUCGGUAUUUCUUGUUCUAUAAUAACAAAAUGCACUUAUUUAAUCACUAAAUAAAAUUAAGCAAUCAAAAAUUUAUAUAUUUGGUAAAAUGACCUUUUUUCCCCUAGACUUUAACAAAAUGACCAUUUUACCCUUAGGCCUGAAAAUCGAUUUUCAUCGAAUUUCUUCAUAUUUUAAGCCUAGCCAAACCCUUUUUACUCUUAUAGAAACUCCAAAUUCUCAUUAUUUCACAUACUUAACAUCUAUUUUACAACUUAUGCAAUAUAGUCCUUUUAGGUGUUUUCAUGCUAACACCUUUCACAAAAGUUGCUUAUAAGACACCCAAGACUCAUUUUCUUUCAUAAAAACUCAGAAAACAUUACAAAUCCUUUCAUGUAAAAACCCUACACUCUUGAUCAUUUUGCAAAAUAGUACCCUCAUUUGAAAGCUCAGGCUUCAAGGGUCUCAAAAGUACAAAAAUAUUCAAGAAAAACCAUUAAAAUCACUUACUUGCGAAGGCUUAAAGUUGCUGAAAUUUUCAAGCUUUCAAAACUCUUCUCUUGGCUGAUAUUUUUAGUUAAGA
rnacentral:lncRNA from 1 species